UAGGGANUCUUCGGCAAUGGACGGAAGUCUGACCGAGCAACGCCGCGUGAGUGAAGAAGGUUUUCGGAUCGUAAAGCUCUGUUGUUAGAGAAGAACGUUGGUAGGAGUGGAAAAUCUACCAAGUGACGGUAACUAACCAGAAAGGGACGGCUAACUACGUGCCAGCAGCCGCGGUAAUACGUAGGUCCCGAGCGUUGUCCGGAUUUAUUGGGCGUAAAGCGAGCGCAGGCGGUUCUUUAAGUCUGAAGUUAAAGGCAGUGGCUUAACCAUUGUACGCUUUGGAAACUGGAGGACUUGAGUGCAGAAGGGGAGAGUGGAAUUCCAUGUGUAGCGGUGAAAUGCGUAGAUAUAUGGAGGAACACCGGUGGCGAAAGCGGCUCUCUGGUCUGUAACUGACGCUGAGGCUCGAAAGCGUGGGGAGCAAACAGGAUUAGAUACUCUGGUAGUCCACGCCGUAAACGAUGAGUGCUAGGUGUUAGGCCCUUUCCGGGGCUUAGUGCCGCAGCUAACGCAUUAAGCACUCCGCCUGGGGAGUACGACCGCAAGGUUG
rnacentral:rRNA from 1 species